rnacentral:lncRNA from 1 species
UCGUGCUCGUAGCUGGAUCGGACGUCGCCUUUGCAGGAAAGUCUUUGGCUCGCAAAAGAGGCCACCAUGAGAAAACUACUGUGCUGCUACGUUUUGCUGUUGCUUGCGGUCGAGCUGACUCACUCUCAAGAACCUGCAAGCUGUCUGGACCGGAGAGUCCUUCUAAACACUGGGAAAGAAUACCUAAGGUCCCUCGUCGCUAAGCUGAUACCAAAGUACGUCAAGGACUACAUCUCCGGCCUUCCACAAGAAGAAUUCAAAA